rnacentral:lncRNA from 1 species
GUGCUGGAAACCUCAUGUUGAAAGAAUUAUGCAAAAUUAAAAGGUUUUAUUUCAAUAAAAAUACAUUUUUUUCUCCAGUGCCGUUUACUAUCCAUAUCCGUUUUUGUCUUUAAACAGACGAUGAAAUCAAGCAUUCACCAAUCUUAAAAUCAAUCAAUGUACUGACAAAACAUCGGAUGACUACAAGUUCUUUUGGGUGGUGACAAGCAC